CCUACGGGGGGCAGCAGUAGGGAAUAUUGCUCAAUGGGGGAAACCCUGAAGCAGCAACGCCGCGUGGAGGAUGAAGGUUUUCGGAUUGUAAACUCCUUUUGUUAGAGAAGAGAAUGACGGUAGCUAACGAAUAAGCACCGGCGAACUCCGUGCCAGCAGCCGCGGUAAUACGGAGGGUGCAAGCGUUACUCGGAACCACUGGGCGUAAAGAGCGCGUAGGCGGGAUAGCAAGUCAGAUGUGAAAUCCUAGGGCUUAACCAUAGAACGGCAUUUGAAACUGUUAUUCUAGAGUAUGGGAGUGGUCGCUGGCAUUCUUGUUGUAGUGGUCACCUCCGUAGCGUUC
rnacentral:rRNA from 1 species